GAUGAACGCUGGCGGCGUGCCUAAUACAUGCAAGUCGAGCGAACAGACGAGGAGCUUGCUCCUCUGACGUUAGCGGCGGACGGGUGAGUAACACGUGGAUAACCUACCUAUAAGACUGGGAUAACUUCGGGAAACCGGAGCUAAUACCGGAUAAUAUAUUGAACCGCAUGGUUCAAUAGUGAAAGACGGUUUUGCUGUCACUUAUAGAUGGAUCCGCGCCGCAUUAGCUAGUUGGUAAGGUAACGGCUUACCAAGGCGACGAUGCGUAGCCGACCUGAGAGGGUGAGCAGCCACACCGGAACUGAGACACGGUCCAGACUCCUACGGGAGGCAGCAGUAGGGAAUCUUCCGCAAUGGGCGAAAGCCUGACGGAGCAACGCCGCGUGAGUGAUGAAGGUCUUCGGAUCGUAAAACUCUGUUAUUAGGGAAGAACAAAUGUGUAAGUAACUAUGCACGUCUUGACGGUACCUAAUCAGAAAGCCACGGCUAACUACGUG
rnacentral:rRNA from 1 species